UACGGGGGGGCAAGCGUUGUUCGGAAUUACUGGGCGUAAAGGGCUCGUAGGCGGCCAACUAAGUCAGACGUGAAAUCCCUCGGCUUAACCGGGGAACUGCGUCUGAUACUGGAUGGCUUGAGUUCGGGAGAGGGAUGUGGAAUUCCAGGUGUAGCGGUGAAAUGCGUAGAUAUCUGGAGGAACACCGGUGGCGAAGGCGGCAUCCUGGACCGACACGUGACGCUGAUGAGCGAAAGCCAGGGGAGCAAACGGG
rnacentral:rRNA from 1 species